CAAUUGACUCUUUGUUAAGCACCAAAUUUGCUGCAAAAUCAGGCAAUCUAAAAAUCUACAUUGACAGAGUAGAGAAAUUAUACAUAUUUGUGCUCUCAGUAUUUGUACAUUGCAUUGUAUUUUUCUUACUCUGCGAGGAAGACUAUUCAUGGAACCAAUUUUGUUUCAACAAGAAUCCAUGUUUUAAUUCCAGUACUGAAAGUAGUAAUUAUCUCAUUAGAUAAGCUGUUGGGCUGCCUCCCAGCACGUUUGUUCCAAAAUCGACCAACAGACCUCACACAAUUGGCAACCGAUUUUCCAGGACGAAAUCAUGAACAGACUUUUUCUAGCGGAUGUUAAAUGAACAUACACAAAAUAUUUUGUCAUUAUUGUGUAGAAGAAAAACUAAUUUAUGUCUAUUUACUUAUUGCUUGAAUAAGAGUGCAACAAAAGCCAUAUUAUAUGAAAACGAGGAGCAGAGAAGUAUAAACACCAAUUUAUCCACCAAAGGGAGAUGCAAGUGAGCUGCUUGAUUACGCGGAGAAGUGGAAAAUUUAUUAAUCGAACGGACUCUGUUCUGCCGUAUCGACAAGCGCUGGCACAAAGACAAAGAUCGCAAGAGCAAAGAAGGCGUGGGACAGCAUCAGCAAGUAGCGUGCUGACAAGGACUGCACCACAACAGGAGUGCUCUCUAGCCGAAGAGAAUAUAAGUGCCACUCUUGCCAGCCUCGGCCGGACAUUAGUGGUCAGUAUUUGGACAGUACCAGACUGGGACUCACACACCAGCACAGUAUUAGCACAGUACUAGGAGAGCACUACAAUAGCAGUGACAUGUGAUUCGUAGCAAUUGCUUACAUGGACCUUGUAUACAGCAAAGGACUUUGAUUGUUUGCAUGUCGCCCAUUGCUUGCGACAUCAUUGUACAUUAAAAGUUAAGUGCUAUCUACCUUUUUUAUUGUAAUAAAAACUAUUAAUUUGA